CAGGAAUAAUUCUUGGCUUCAAGAAUCUCAGUUUUUAAUUGCAACAAGACUAGUGAGUAAAAUUAAAGUUAAGUGAUCAGUUUGUACAGAAUAUAAAGAACUACCAAAUUUUCUUGGAGAUCAAGGACAGAGAAGUUCAUCUGAUCAGUUUGAGCAAUGUUUACUGUGAGUACAAGAUUGAUGGGGCAUCCCUGAUGGAGUGAAAGAUACCAAACACCAGGCCUGGAUGGCCAGGGAAUAGGCUGCCCACAAGAGGAGGAAGGCACAGGAGGAAGGCCUCUGGUCUGUGUGGGAACAGGAAGAAGAGCAAUCAGGUUGGAAAGGAAGUUUCAGAGAUGAAGAUUUGGAGAGGACCUGGGAGAUCUGGAAUUAAUCUCAGAUCAUCCAUUUGAAAUGCUAUCUGGAGCAAGCUUCUCUUUUUGAGGGCUCAGAUUCCUUUGUGAAAAAUGGCACCUGUUACUUAGAGGCUUCUGAUGGAUUGAGCGUAAGUUUUACUUUUUUCUAAUAUAUG
rnacentral:lncRNA from 1 species